UACGUGGGUCCCAAGCGUUACCCGGUGUUAUUGGGCGUAAAGAGUUCUGUAGGCGGUUUUGUAAGUUGGGGGUUAAAUCCCAAUGCUCAACAUUGGAACAGCUCUCAAAACUGUAAAACUAGACACACGGAGAGGAAGCUAGAAUUUGUGGAGGAGUAGUGAAAUGCGUUGAUCUCACAAAGAAUACCAAAGGCGUAAGCAAGCUUCUGGACGUGUUGUGACGCUGAGAGACGAAAGCGUGAGUAGCGAAAAGG
rnacentral:misc_RNA from 1 species